GAAGGGGGGGGGGCCUGCGCCGCCGGCCCCUUCUCCCUCGCCGCGGCCCCGGCGGCAGCAGGCUCAGCACAGAGAGGGGGAGAGGGCGAGCGCUACGUGUUUAUUAGCAGGCGGGCAGGCCGGCCGGCCACGGAGAAAGAUGUCGGAGCGGCAGAGGCGGGGCGGGCGGGAAGGCGGCGGGCUGGCGGCUGAAAGGCGCUUUCUCUGCGAGGUGCGGGCGGCCGGCGCGCGGAGGGAUACGACGCACGGGAGGAGGGGCGGGCGCGCGGACGGGCGGGCAACGGCUAUUCGCGGCGGCGGCGCCGGGGCUGGAAGUUGCCGAGUUUUGGCGUUGCAGAAAUGGGGAAGCAAAGCGAAGCCAAAGUGCCCCCGGGGAGCGCGGCCCCGCUGGGAAGGCGGGCGGAGGAGGCCCUUCCCUCCCCCCGCUCCGGCGGCUCCCCCUCCCCCGCGGCCAGGCCCCUCCCGGGCGCGGGGCUGCGGCGGCCCCGCGGCUCCCGCGGAGCCAUGUCGGCGCCGGGGCGCUGCGGGCUGGUGGCUCCUGCGAGCGCCGCGGUCACGCGUGGCGCUCGCUGCUGCUUGCGACGUUGUACCCGGGGCUGAACCAGACACACGGGACUGGCGAAUCUUCCUGCUGCUGGGAGCCGUGGCGAGGCCAGGAGCGCUGCCAGCGCGAGGACGGGCGAGGGAUGGCGAUGCUUGCAACUUAUGGCCGCCCUGGAGAAUGGAGCAGCUUAGUGGAGGCUAA
ensembl:lncRNA